GAUGGACGCUAGCUACAGGCUUAACACAUGCAAGUCGAGGGGAAACGACAUCGAAAGCUUGCUUUUGAUGGGCGUCGACCGGCGCACGGGUGAGUAACGCGUAUCCAACCUGCCCACCACUUGGGGAUAACCUUGCGAAAGUAAGACUAAUACCCAAUGACGUCUCUAGAAGACAUCUGAAAGAGAUUAAAGAUUUAUCGGUGAUGGAUGGGGAUGCGUCUGAUUAGCUUGUUGGCGGGGUAACGGCCCACCAAGGCGACGAUCAGUAGGGGUUCUGAGAGGAAGGUCCCCCACAUUGGAACUGAGACACGGUCCAAACUCCUACGGGAGGCAGCAGUGAGGAAUAUUGGUCAAUGGACGAGAGUCUGAACCAGCCAAGUAGCGUGCAGGAUGACGGCCCUAUGGGUUGUAAACUGCUUUUAUAAGGGAAUAAAGUGAGUCUCGUGAGACUUUUUGCAUGUACCUUAUGAAUAAGGACCGGCUAAUUCCGUG
rnacentral:rRNA from 1 species